CAUGCAGUCGAGCGGGCUGUAGCAAUACAGUUAGCGGCGAACGGGUGAGUAACAGGUGGAUGAUCUGCCUCCCGGUGGGGGAUAACGGCUGGAAACGGCCGCUAAUACCGCAUUCGGUUGUUCCGCUACGGCGGGACAAAGAAAGGCGCUUUACGGCGUCGCCGGGAGAUGAGUCCGCCCCCCAUUAGCUAGUUGGCGGGAUAAUAGCCCACCAAGGCUUCGAUGGGUAGCCGAGCUGAGAGGUUGAUCGGCCACACUGGAACUGAGACACGGUCCAGACACCUACGGGUGGCAGCAGUAGGGAAUAUUGGACAAUGGGCGAAAGCCUGAUCCAGCCAUGCCGCGUGAGUGACGAAGGUCUUCGGAUUGUAAAACUCUUUUCUGUGGAAAGAACAUCCGGGGUAGGAAAUGCCCCCGGCUUGACGGUACCACAGGAAUAAGGAACGGCUAACUCCGUGCCAGCAGCCGCGGUAAUACGGAGGUUCCAAGCGUUGUUCGGAAUUACUGGGCGUAAAGGGAGCGCAGGCGGACAAGUCAGUCUGAAGUGGAAAUCCGGGGCUCAACCUCGGACUUGCUUCGGAUACUGCUUGUCUUGAGUUCGUGAGAGGAAGAUGGAAUUCAGGGUGUAGCGGUGAAAUGCACAGAUAUCCUGAGGAACACCGGUGGCGAAAGCGGUCUUCUGGCACGAAACUGACGCUGAGGCUCGAAAGCGUGGGUAGCAAACGGGAUUAGAUACCCCG
rnacentral:rRNA from 1 species